rnacentral:rRNA from 1 species
AACGAACGCUGGCGGCAGGCUUAACACAUGCAAGUCGAACGCCCCGCAAGGGGAGUGGCAGACGGGUGAGUAACGCGUGGGAACAUACCCUUUUCUACGGAAUAGCUCUGGGAAACUGGAAUUAAUACCGUAUACGCCCUACGGGGGAAAGAUUUAUCGGGGAAGGAUUGGCCCGCGUUGGAUUAGCUAGUUGGUGGGGUAAAGGCCUACCAAGGCGACGAUCCAUAGCUGGUCUGAGAGGAUGAUCAGCCACAUUGGGACUGAGACACGGCCCAAACUCCUACGGGAAGUAGCAGUGGGGAAUAUUGGACAAUGGGCGCAAGCCUGAUCCAGCCAUGCCGCGUGAGUGAUGAAGGCCUUAGGGUUGUAAAGCUCUUUCACCGAUGAAGAUAAUGACGGUAGUCGGAGAAGAAGCCCCGGCUAACUUCGUG